AGUGAACGCUGGCGGUAGGCCUAACACAUGCAAGUCGAACGGCAGCACAGUAAGAGCUUGCUCUUACGGGUGGCGAGUGGCGGACGGGUGAGGUAUACAUCGGAAUCUACUUUUUCGUGGGGGAUAACGUAGGGAAACUUACGCUAAUACCGCAUACGACCUACGGGUGAAAGCAGGGGAUCUUCGGACCUUGCGCGAUUGAAUGAGCCGAUGUCGGAUUAGCUAGUUGGCGGGGUAAAGGCCCACCAAGGCGACGAUCCGUAGCUGGUCUGAGAGGAUGAUCAGCCACACUGGAACUGAGACACGGUCCAGACUCCUAAGGGAGGCAGCAGUGGGGAAUAUUGGACAAUGGGCGCAAGCCUGAUCCAGCCAUACCGCGUGGGUGAAGAAGGCCUUCGGGUUGUAAAGCCCUUUUGUUGGGAAAGAAAAGCAGCAGGUUAAUACCCCGCUGUUCUGACGGUACCCAAAGAAUAAGCACCGGCUAACUUCGUG
rnacentral:rRNA from 1 species